rnacentral:piRNA from 1 species
UCCCCGGUUGCAUCCUGUUGC